AUCUGAGGUAACUGACAUGGAAAGCAGAGCUAUGCUGUGAGGAGGCAUACUGACAUCAGCCAUUCUGGAGAGCUGAGAGGAGGGUUUGAGGUGUAUCCUACCCACCUCUUGAACAAACGCGUUCUCCUUAUAGACUGUGAAGGUGGACCAGGGGAAGUGACUCCCUGUCAUCAGUUUCGGAAUGGCUGAGCUCGAGAUCAGAGUGGUAUAUUCAGACUGUCACCAAAGGGCAGCCUAAGGGGACACAUUGUGGAGCAGUGCAUGCUCUGGAAACAUCAGACAAAGUUUACAUUGUUGGCAUGGUUACGGCCUGACCGGGCGCGGCGCUGUGAGGUGCACGUCGCAGGACUGUGACGUCACCGGCCGGGCGUCCUGCACGAGACAAACUACACUUGAUGCACAAGGUGUCUUUCUAUAAAGGCCGAGCACAACGGCAAGCUGCUGCUGCUGAGAGCCCCGACCAGUCCCCUUCUGAGCCCCCCUCCCCUUCUCACACCCAUUCCCCCUCUCCUUCCCAGUCCCCUUCUCAGCCCCCCUCCCCUUCUCACACCCAUUCACCCUCUCCUUCCCAGUCCUCUUCUCAGCCCCCCUCCCCUUCUGUCACCCAAUCCCCCUCUCCUUCCCAGCCCCCUUCUCAGCCCCCCUCCCUUUCUGUCACCCAAUCCCUCUCUCCUUCCCAGUCCCCUUCUCAGCCCCCCUCCCCUUCUGUCACCCAUUCCCCCUCUCCUUACCAGUCCCCUUCUCAGCCCCCCUCCCCUUCUGUCACCCAAUCCCCCUCUCCUUCCCAGUCCCCUUCUCAGCCCCCCUCCCCUCUGUCACCAAAUCCCCCUCUCCUUCAUUGUCCCCUUCUCAGCCCCCCUCCCCUUCUGUCACCCAUUCCCCCUCUCCUUCCCAGUCCCCUUCUCAGCCCCCCUCCCCUUCUGUCACCCAUUCCUCCUCUCCUUCCUAGUCCCCUUCUCAGCCCCCCUCCCCUUCUGUCACCCAUUCCCCCUCUCCUUCCCAGUCCCCUUUUCAGCCCCCCUCCCCUUCUGUCACCCAUUCCCCCUCUCCUUCCCAGUCCCCUUCUCAGCCCCCCUCCACCUCUCUUUACCAAUACCCCUCUCUGUCCCCCUCCACCUCUGUAGGACAAAGCACCACUCCGCCCACCUCACCCUCUCUUUCCCAUUCCCCCUCUCUGGCCCCCUCCCCCUCUGUGACCCAACCCACCUCUAUGCCACCCUCCCCCUCUCAAUCUGACCAACCCUCUGUACCAAGCUCCCCCUUCCAGCCUCCUUCCACCAUCCAGCCUCCUACCCCCAUCCAGCCUCCUUCCCCCAUCCAGCCGCCAUCCCCCAUCCAGCCUCCUUCCCCCAUCCAGCCUCCUACCCCCAUCCAGCCUCCUUCCCCCAUCCAGCCGCCAUCCCCCAUCCAGCCGCCAUCCCCACCUUCAGAAUGGGCAGCAGAGGCCCCGGAGGCACUUCUGGGAGGUGAACAAGUGGCACAGGACAAUGUUGCAGUUGGAGAUCCCACAACUUUUGCUGGCAUUCUGGCCACCAUGCGGCAAAAUCUGGAAGCCUUGCUGGCUAAUGUGGACCAGCUGCAAAAAUUUGCUUAAUUUUUUUUUUUU